UACGUAGGGUGCGAGCGUUGUCCGGAAUUAUUGGGCGUAAAGAGCUUGUAGGUGGUUUGUCGCGUCUGCUGUGAAAAUCCGAGGCUCAACCUCGGACUUGCAGUGGGUACGGGCAGACUAGAGUGUGGUAGGGGAGACUGGAAUUCCUGGUGUAGCGGUGGAAUGCGCAGAUAUCAGGAAGAACACCCGUGGCUAAGGCGGCUCUCUAGUACGGUACUGACGCUGAGACGCGAAAGCGUGGGGAGCGAACAGG
rnacentral:rRNA from 1 species